GCCGCCUCACCAUGUCACUGAAAGGAUCUAAUUACGGCUCUCUGAUGACAAUGGAGGGGAACCUCCAGAUCUACACCAAAACUGGAUACUACAAGGGAAAUUUGGCCGCCAUCAAAUACAUCAACAAGAAACGCAUCGAACUGACCAGGAAGGUUCUGUUUGAACUGAAACAC